UGUUCACAUUUGGAUAGGGUUUAGGUGAGGUGUAAAGAGAGGAAAUAGUGGAAUUAUGCUUAUUUGGUGGGAUACGAUUUGAGCUUUCACACUUGGAUUCUUUCUUAGGGUUAGGUUAGCAAGGGUUAUAAAUAUAAGACAUGUGAGCCUUGGAAACCUUUGUUGUGUGGCUGCUGAAAUCGAGAGAGAAAGCAAGAGAGGAGUGCACAAAAAAGAGAGGAAAAAAAAGAGAAAGAAGGAGAAGUGUUUGAUUUCAAAAAUCUCUAGGUGCCUAAGGAUUGAUUCGCUUUGUGUUUUUGAACACUACUGAGGAGGAAAAUGAAUAUGGAAGGCGGGAAGGAUUUGUGGCAGCUUGGCAUGUGUGUUGAGGAUGAAUGGAUUGAAUGGACUAGUUGACGAUCAAGGAUGACGUUGUUUUUAUAUCUUUUGAUUUAUGUUUCUAUGUAUUUCCGCACUUAGUUUUAACAAUUGAUUUAAGUUUAUGUUUUAUGUUUUUAUGUACUAAACAAUGGGUACCCAUACCGUAUUUUAUAUUACAUACUUUACUUUAAAUUUGGCACAAUAUUUUUUGGGUUUUAAAUAAAGUUAUGUUAUUCCUUAUGUAU